GGAAAGCAAAGGAUUCUAACUUUUUUGUAUAUGUUCGGGUUUUUCGUUUUCAUUGUGUUUUCUGUCGCUUUCUCUUCGGCUGGAACCUCUAAUCACGUGAAACUCGUAGUUCCUGAACAACAAGCCCAAUCAACACACACUUUGGAAUUA